rnacentral:rRNA from 1 species
GUUGGGCCUGCUCGGUGAGAAGAAAAAUUUAACAGCUGCGGUAUUAUAACUGUACUAAGGUAGCAUAAUAAUUUGCCUUAUAAAUUAAGGCUAGAAUGAAUGGUUUGACGAAAAUUAGACUGUCUUUAUUUUAUUUGUUAGAAAUUAAUUUUUAUAGUGAAAAAGCUUGAAUAAUUUAAGGGGACGAGAAGACCCUAUUGAGCUUUAUUUAUUAAUAUUUAAAUAUAAAUAUAUAAUUUAUAUUAUGAAAAUUAUGUUGUAUAUAUAUAUGUAUAUUUAAUUGGAUUUAAUUUUGAUUGGGGUGAUCAAGGAAUAAAGAUAAAGUAACUUCCUUAAAAUUAAUGAUUGUUUUUAUGGAGUAAUAAACCAAGUUUUUUGCUUAUAAGAUAAGUUACCAUAGGGGUAACAGCGUAAUUUUUUUUGAGAGUUCAUAUUGAAAAAAGAGAUUGCGACCUCGAUGUUGGAUUAAAAAUUACCUUAAGG